CAUCGGUCAGACGUAGUUUCAAUUCCGUCUGGAAAUCUGGAGGUAUUAAUAGAUCCAUUGUGCUGUUUCCGGAUCUGCUUUCUUUCCACACAUCGAGUUCUAUCCAUUACCACGAGAAGAAGAAAAAUUAUCAGUAACCAUGACCAAUCACGUGCUUCUUUGUUGUGAGGCGUUAUCGACCACAAUUGAAAUCCAGAAUAAGAAACGACUUCUUCUGUCCAGACAUGCUCCUGUGGAGCGGUAAAACAAGCAAUGAACAAACAGUUGAAGAUCAGAGCGGUCAGAAGUAGAGACAUUGCAUGUGGUAAGCUGAACUCUGAAUAACAACGGUGGUCCAGCAAUGGGAGCAAACCGGAUAGCUCUUCCUGAAACAGCAGUUAGAACGGUGAUACCUGAUUGUCUUAACGUGGAGCACAAUCGCUUGCAGCUGAAUUUAACUGCAACAUAAUGCAACCUUCCUGCUACUCAUUUUCUAUUUUGGCAUUUUGACCCGAUAUUCCUGUUUUUAUGCUUUGGAAGCUAUUUUCUGCGAUGAACUUGAAAAUCCGGUUAAGCCACAACAGUAGUAAAAAAAAAAGAUUACCUAGAGGCUACUGCAAGUUGAACGAAUGCUUAUUUUUCUGGUAAAUAUAUUAUGUAAAUAUAUGACAACUUUGAUAUUUUUCACCUGA